GAUUCAUGGACAUACCUGGCCUGAUUGAGCAGGAUUUUACACUACUUUUUGGUGACUCAACUUCUGCAAAGCUGUUGGAGAAAUGGUCCACCAACAUAAAACCAAAGGUCAUUGCACAGAGUCGUGGCCUGACACAGACUGGGGAGCUCCAAGACCUUGUCCAGAAUGCUGUAGCUACUGAAAUUGAAGAAGGUUGGGACAGUGACAUGUCUUCCAUUCUCUUGCUGGUCCACCUUCUACCACCUUCGAGUCAAGGGCGCAAAAGACCAGGAAGAUUUCGG